rnacentral:misc_RNA from 1 species
GUGAAUUACUAGGACGUCCAUUAAACCGGAGUCCGAACAACACUUUUAAACACCAAACCCCGUGAACCGUGUACACCCUUUUUUAAACGCGAAAUAAGUAACAGAAAGUCCGCUGCGCAUGCAGUAAACAAACAAAUA